rnacentral:rRNA from 1 species
CCUACGGGAUGCUGCAGUGAGGAAUAUUGGUCAAUGGACGAGAGUCUGAACCAGCCAAGCCGCGUUAAGGAUGACUGCUCUAUGAGUUGUCAACUUCUUUUAUAUGGGAAUAAACUGUUCCACGCGUGUCUUUCUGUAUGUCUCAUAUGAAUACGGAUCGGCUAACUCCGUGCCAGCAGCCGCGGUAAUACGGAGGAUUCUAGCGUUAUCCGGCUUUAUUGGGUUUAAAGGGUGCGUAGGUGGUCGGUUAAGUCAGUUGUGAAAUUACGAGGCUCAACCGUGAAAUUGCCGUUGAUACUGGCAGGCUAGAGUGCAGUAGAGGUAGGCGGAAUGCAUGGUGUAGCGGUGAAAUGCUUAGAGAUCACACAGAACUCCGAUUGCGAAGGCAGCUUACCAAGCUACAUCUGACGCUGAGGCACGAAAGUGUGGGGAGCAAACAGGAUUAGAUACCCGAGUAGUC